ACAGUGGAGAAUGGAAUAUUAAGCUACUGAAAUCUUGUUAAUAUUCUCCUGGUACAAGGGCUUAUUGGAUAACAAUCAAGAUUGGAGGACGUGUGGAGACUUCUGUAUUUCCUAAAAUGAUGGCUUUUGAUCCGGUUAGUGUUAAUUGUGUGCUGGCAGUAAGAGGUACCCAGAGGGAGAGUGAAACAGAGAAGAAGACAAUUGGAAAGAAGAGAAGACAACAUGAAACUUUGAUAUAUUUAAAAAACAGAACAGCCAUAUAUCUCAGCAUACAGAGGAUAAUCUUCUCUUUGAAGUGCUGUCAAAGACCCUUCUUGAUUUAAAAGCAUCAUUUAUUUUGUAAGACAAGCCUAUCUAAUUCCAAUUUAAGGAUAAUAAAACAUAAGAAACGGA